AUUGAACGCUGGCGGCAGGCCUAACACAUGCAAGUCGAGCGGGGACUUCGGUCCUAGCGGCGAACGGGUGAGGAAUGCUUGGGAAUCUGCCUGGUAGUGGGGGAUAACGUUUCGAAAGGAACGCUAAUACCGCAUACGUCCUACGGGAGAAAGGGGGGGAUCUUCGGACCUCUCGCUAUCAGAUGAGCACAAGUCGGAUUAGCUAGUUGGUGAGGUAAAGGCUCACCAAGGCGACGAUCCGUAGCUGGUCUGAGAGGAUGAUCAGCCACACUGGAACUUAGACACGGUCCAGACUCCUACGGGAGGCAGCAGUGGGGAAUAUUGGACAAUGGGCGAAAGCCUGAUCCAGCCAUGCCGCGUGUGUGAAGAAGGCCUUCGGGUUGUAAAGCACUUUAAGCGAGGAGGAAUGGCUCUGGGUUAAUACCCUUGAGCAGUGACGUUACUCGCAGAAUAAGCACCGGCUAACUCUGUGCCAGCAGCCGCGGUAAUAC
rnacentral:rRNA from 1 species